AUUGGACGCUGGCGGAAUGCUUUACACAUGCAAGUCGAACGGCAGCACGGGGCAACCUGGUGGCGAGUGGCGAACGGGUGAGUAAUAUAUCGGAACGUGCCCAAUCGUGGGGGAUAACGUAGCGAAAGUUACGCUAAUACCGCAUACGAUCUACGGAUGAAAGCGGGGGAUCGCAAGACCUCGCGCGAAUGGAGCGGCCGAUAUCAGAUUAGGUAGUUGGUGGGGUAAAGGCUCACCAAGCCAACGAUCUGUAGCUGGUCUGAGAGGACGACCAGCCACACUGGAACUGAGACACGGUCCAGACUCCUACGGGAGGCAGCAGUGGGGAAUUUUGGGACAAUGGGCGCAAGCCUGAUCCAGCCAUUCCGCGUGCAGGAUGAAGGCCUUCGGGUUGUAAACGUGCUUUGUACGGUAACGAAACGGUACUGCCCUAAUACGUGGGCUAAUGACGGUACCGUAAGAAUAAGCA
rnacentral:rRNA from 1 species